GAAUUUAAAUUUAGCUACAAAUAUCAAACCUGCCUCACUUAUUAUUAAGUAAUUUCCGUUUAAAUUCUACGAGAUGUAGAAUUACUUUAAGGAACGGCUCUGAACGAUACGAUUUGUCCUUUCGACAUUUUGAAUUGUUCUUGUUGGGAACUAUGUUUCACUCAUUAGGAUUUAUCAGAAAAGUUUAAUCUUCAACUCGAUAGAAGCAAUAAUAAGAGAACGUUAAAACGCUUUAUCUAUACCUCAUACUGCAAAAAUUUAUUUAUACGCGGAUUAUCGAACUUUAAAGUGUUAUGAUGCAUAUUUUCUUCGUCAGGCUUCAAACAAAUUUCUUAAUUUUCAAAGAUAUCCAAAUGUUAUGUUUUUUGAACAAUUUUGUGAAAUCUAAAAAGUAUCAAAGCUAAUAAUUAGGCAUAUUUGGAUCAACAGCCUUCUAAACUACCCUUCCUUCACUAAUUAGUUGUUAUCAGAUCUCUUCCAAACUAGAACCAAUAAAUCAAAUUUUAAGAGCUUGGCAACGUUUUUGAGAUAUAGAUAUCUAGAUCUCAAACAGUUGUUUGAUAAAUGGCAAUAAUAAUUUUAUAGGUUAGAGUGCAUAGCGCACAGUUUUUGCUUCAUUAAGUUUUGUUCAAAAUUCUACUAUGCUUACUGGAUAUAUUGGAAAUGUAAUAAUCGUUGAAGAUGUGUUAUAAAAGCCAUGCUAUUUGAGUUUCAAUAAACAUUCCAUUCUGGCAGAUUCUUGUCAGCGAAAUGUGUUAAACAACUUUAGCGAAAAUAGAAAAGGCAGAUAAGAGAAGCAAAAUUUGUAUUAUAUUCUCUUUGAAAAACAAUGGUUAACCAACUAUAAAAGCCAACAAUUCAAAUUGCCCUCGCUUAUUCAAACCUACGUUUUCCUACCCGAUAAUAACAUAUUUUACUGCUAGAAUAGCAAUGCCAAGGCUGAAUUUUUUUUGCUUCCUACACUGCAUAUUUAUUAUGUGCAUUUGGUAGGCGACACUGAAAAAUACCUUAAAUUCACUGGUGUUUUGAGUGGGACCAAAAUUACAUUUUUGAAUGUUAUAUCAACUAAUUAAGUAAUAUGUAUUUGUAAAAAAAUGCUUCCCAGUAGAAUUUUAAGUAGCUUAACUCAAAAGGUAACUCAAACUUGUCUAAACUAUAACAUGUAGGAUGUUUUCAAUUCGUUUGUACAAUUCGAAAAUAUAAAUUUUACUUCUCAGAACCAAGAAUUUAUGAAAAGCGCUUGCUCCUUGUGUGCCUCAAAAUAAUAUAUGACGUUUCGACAGCACGAGAUAUGGGUCUAUCUUGGGGAAUACAUCAAGUUCCUACACAAUGUGCAUCUGCAUAAAGUUGCUACGCAACCUUUCCGAUUUCCUCAAAGCUUGUAUUCGCUAGUUCCCAAAUAGAAAGCAGAAAUAUUGUUCUUUUAAUGAAAAUUUUCAACGAUUCUCCUUGUUCUUAGCGAAUGUGGUUAUCAACAUUUUGGAUACGGGCGGUUGAAUGACGUUCAAGUUGAGCCAUUGGACGUAGAUAUUUAAAAACCCAUGAAAUAGUGAGAUCUACAGGAUCUACUUUCUAGACGCCACAAGCAGUCCUAAACAUAAAAUGAUGGCAUUACACACUUUUCCUUCGGCAUGUUGUGACGCAUCCAAUAUAGUUCAUUUGAAUGCUACACUUUAUCAAAUAUUAUUGAAGCAGUGUUUCUUGAAUCUGUAUAGAAUUAUAGUCUUCAUUGACGAUCUAAAGGUAUAGUAAUCUGAAUAUUGGGACCUGACUGACCCCAAGGAAAAUAAGAUCUGAACUGCUGACAAGACCCAAAAUACAUAUCUAACUCUAACUUUCCUAGUGUGGACUGAGGAAAAAGUUAGGCAGCCGAUUUAAAUAUUCUUCAUUUCUACAGUUGAAGACAUAUUAGCAUCCCAAACUGGACCAGCCAAUUAGGAAAGAGAUUCAUUUAAUGUAAUUAAUACUAUCUAUUCUAAAUCUUCGCCCUUAAACCAACUAAGCACGUUGUUAGAGGCAUUGAGAUCUAUCUCUAUGUUGUUUUUAAUCACCUAGUUGAUCCAACCGAUGUGUUUUUGCAUUUCCAUUAAAACUUUGAUAAUU